ensembl:piRNA 21ur-4758 ncRNA
UGUGAUUCAAGCUGGUAUAAU